CAACACCCCUCCCCCUCCUCUCUUGCCCUGAUCUUGAUCCCUCCGGAUCCAGAUCGUUGGCUCGAGGGUUGGGGGCGGCUCUUCUUCAUUUUGUCUUGUUCAGUUGUCUUCUUCAACGCUGUGCAAGAGCUUUGGGUCAGGCUGGGGACGCUUGGAUCCUGGUCGGUUCGUCCCGCUAGUGUGGUGCGGAGCUGCGGUGCGGUUGAGCGGUGGCUGUGGCGGUGGUGGAAAGGCCAGUUCCCGGAUCGGUUUCUACCGCGGUGGUUGCACGACUGCCUUCUUUUUUGGUUCUGGUGUGAAACUUGAAAUAGUCACUCAAAUAUGUUCUCUACCUGAUAGUGGUGAAUUCUUCCCAGAAGAAGUCUCGACACCCAUUCUUGAUCUGAUGAAAUCCUUUGAGAGUUAUCAUCUAUAAUGCUGGAAACACGGAAGUCUUUUAAAGCCAGUUUGGCAGUAGCGGAGUUGACAAUUGCAAUACACCAUGUUUUCCAUGCACCGGUUGAUAAGAUACUAUGGGAUGCUAUAGAACAACUGAGAGUGAAUAUGAUCACUACUUCAAUAACAGUAAAGCUGUUAAGGAAGCAAUGUGUUUCAUGAUGGACCCAGAUUAUGGGAAGAAGACCUGCUAUGUACAGUUCCCACAAGAAGAGGGCUGCUCUUAGUUCUUUUAAUUUGAGAUUCCAGGGCUCUUCAGAGAAAUUCAACCGAAGCUAUGAUGGAGGCAAGGGUUGUUGAUAUUCUAAAUGCAAUGGAACCACUUGCAUAUAGGAAAAUGGACUUUGAAGAAUUUUGUGCUGCUGCAAUUAGCACGCAUCAAUUGGAGGCCCUCGAAGGAUGGGAGCAGAUAGCAUCUACUGCUUUUUAAUUUGAGAUUCCAGGGCUGUCAAAAAAACUGAAUCGACCAUUCCCAUUUUCAAUAUGGAAGACAUUGACGAGUUAAGGUGAAGGAAAUCAACUAUUAUCAAUUAAACCUGAAGCCUUUGCUGAACUGAAGGUGAAGGAAAUCAAGAAUGGGCGGUUGGCAAUGACCUCAAUUGAUAAGAUUCUUUGUUCAGGCUAUUGUAACUGGAAAAGGGCCAGUUGAGAACCUCUAUGACCACGUUGCUGAUCCCGUGGCCAACAAUGCAUGGGCAUACGCUACCAACUUCGUCCCCGGGAAGUGAAGAAACCUAAAUUGCUGGGAUUUCUGCAACAUUAUCCAAAGUUGUUAAUUUUCUGUAUCCAGUAAAAAGAUGCAGCUUCUUUUUGCUUGAACAACUUCUUUGUUUAUUGGCCAAAAGAAAAGAAAAGAAUACAAGAAAAAAGAAAAAAGAGAACUGUUUAUUUUUCUAAAUGCGGUGCACAUUCAGGUGCUCAUGUCAACAGAUGC